UUUUUGAGGACACCUUCAACGAAUCAGGAGGUGGAUCGUUCCCUUCGCACCGCCAAAACUGAACCGAAGCGCUUCUCCAUCCACGCUUUAUGCUUCUCGCUCUCACAACUCAACGCGCAGACAAAACCAGACCUAGCUCGCCGCUCGUCGUCUUUGCCACACUCGAAAUCGAUCAAAGGAGAAGCCAAAUAACAGGUUACGAUGGAGUCAAGAAGAACUCACCUUAUUCGAACUCUGUGAACUUUUGGAUUUCUGGAUCUUGAGUGAAGAUCUUUGUGGCGAGGAUGAAGAGGGAGCUUUGGUGCAGAAGGAGAAACUUCUCAGAUGGAGAUGCAGAAUGAAGAACUGAUGCAGAACGAUUAAUAGGAAUUGUUGUAGAAUGAUCAAGUUUUGGAUGCGGAAUGACGAAAACGAAUUGCAGGAUGAAGAAGCAAAAAUGAGCCUUUUUCUGUGAUGGAAUGAAAAGGUUGUUGCUAUUAAAUAGUCUUGUCGAGGAAGUGAAGGUUUGAUAUAGUCAUGGUUCAUGGAUGAAGGUUUGGCAAAUCAUGGCGGUUGUGACAAAACUUGAAGACUUUGGGUUAGCUUGGAAUUGGAUUGGUGCUUUUUGAUAAUGUCAUAUUGUAAUUUGAUAUAUGUACUUGAUUUAAUGGAAAUGGGAUUAUGAUAUGAGAUUAUAAUGAAUUGGGUUAUUGAAUUGUAUUGAAUUUUGAAUUUGUUAUGGCAAGGUUUUAAUAAAAAUUAUACUCUUUGAAUGA